UGAACGCUGGCGGCAGGCUUAACACAUGCAAGUCGAGCGGAAACGAUGAUAGCUUGCUAUCAGGCGUCGAGCGGCGGACGGGUGAGUAAUACUUAGGAAUCUACCUAGUAGUGGGGGAUAGCACGGGGAAACUCGUAUUAAUACCGCAUACGACCUACGGGAGAAAGGGGGCAGUUUACUGCUCUCGCUAUUAGAUGAGCCUAAGUCGGAUUAGCUAGAUGGUGGGGUAAAGGCCUACCAUGGCGACGAUCUGUAGCUGGUCUGAGAGGAUGAUCAGCCACACCGGGACUGAGACACGGCCCGGACUCCUACGGGAGGCAGCAGUGGGGAAUAUUGGACAAUGGGGGAAACCCUGAUCCAGCCAUGCCGCGUGUGUGAAGAAGGCCUUUUGGUUGUAAAGCACUUUAAGCAGUGAAGAAGACUCUUCGGUUAAUACCCGGAGACGAUGACAUUAGCUGCAGAAUAAGCACCGGCUAACUCUGUGCCAGCAGCCGCGGUAAUACAGAGGGUGCAAGCGUUAAUCGGAAUUACUGGGCGUAAAGGGAGCGUAGGUGGCUCUAUAAGUCAGAUGUGAAAUCCCCGGGCUCAACCUGGGAACUGCAUCUGAAACUGUAGAGCUAGAGUAUGUGAGAGGGAGGUAGAAUUUCAGGUGUAGCGGUGAAAUGCGUAGAGAUCUGAAGGAAUACCGAUGGCGAAGGCAGCCUCCUGGCAUAAUACUGACACUGAGGCUCGAAAGCGUGGGUAGCAAACAGGAUUAGAUACCCUGGUAGUCCACGCCGUAAA
rnacentral:rRNA from 1 species